rnacentral:rRNA from 1 species
ACGGGAGGCAGCAGUGGGGGAUAUUGGGCAAUGGGCGAAAGCCUGACCCAGCGACGCCGCGUGAGGGAAGAAGAUCUUCGGAUUGUAAACCUUAGUCAACAGGGAAGAAGCAAGUGACGGUACCUGUGGAGGAAGCCACGGCUAACUACGUGCCAGCAGCCGCGGUAAUACGUAGGUGGCGAGCGUUAUCCGGAUUUAUUGGGUUUAAAGGGUGCGCAGGCGGAUCGGUAAGUCAGGGGUGAAAAGUUGGGGCUCAACUCCAAUCGUGCCUUUGAUACUGCCGGACUAGAGUGCGAUAGACGUGGCCGGAAUGUGAUGUGUAGCGGUGAAAUGCUUAGAUAUGUCACAGAACACCGAUCGAGAAGUCAGGUCACGAGCUCGCAACUGACGCUCAGGCACGAAAGCGUGGGGAUCAAACAGGAUUAGAUACCCUGGUA